UGUGCCUCAGUGACAUGAAAUCAAUGACUAGACAACGUGGAUUAACAAGUGCUAUUAUAGCUGUCUCAAGGUUUCCUAAAGGUAUUUCUUUUGGUGCACUCCUAAUUAAUCUGUUAAUGAUCUUGCAAUGCAAACGUCUCUAAUAUUUGUUUUUUUUUGUUAAACCUAAUUUGACUAAGAGAGAUGUAGGCUUCAAAUAAAUAUUCUUACAUUUAUAUUACUGUUAGUAUGUUCUUGGAAUCUCUCUUUUUUGGUUUUUUUUUUUUCUGGAAGGUGUCUCAUAUUUUUAUUUUUCGCAAAUGGUGUUUCUAUUUACUGUUAUACCUAUAAUGCCCAUCAUCGUCGCCUGUCACUUUUGCCCUCGCUCUCGUUUGUAGUUAUCGCCAUUAAGGCCCUCUCUUGUUGUUAUUAUCAUGUUCUCAUUGUUAUCUCCACCCUCGUCCUCGUCAAUGGUUGUCGUUAUCAUUGUGCUUUUAUUCGUUGACUUCGCUCUCAACCUUGUUUGUUUCGUCAUUAUUGAGGUAUUGCAAAGGCUCACCUUGACGAUCUUGCCCUCCUUUGACUCCUUCAUUAUUGACCUUUGUUGGCUGUUUCACCAUCAUCCUUCCUCUAUCGUCAUUGAUAGUGGAGGCAUCAAGGAGGGCGAAGUCCUCCUGAUGGGGCCUUAGCGAUACCUCGAUAAUAGCAGACAAGGGUGAGGGUGGUGGACAAGGGCAAAGGCGAUGGACAAGGGUGUGAUAACAAUGAUAGCAACGAAUGAGGGUGACAAACGAAGACAAGGAUAGAGAAGAUGGACGAUGAGGGCACGGUGAGGGGGGAGUUGGUAGAUGAGGGCAAGGUGGUAAUGAUAGUGGCGAAUGAGGGCCUCAGUGACGAACAAGAACAAAGGCAUAGGUGAUAAAAUGAUGGGUGAUGACGAGGGGCAUUACGACUAUUACAAAAAAUGGGAAACAAAAAAAAAUUAAAAAAAGGAAACACCUUCCGAAACAAGUCUAAAAAAAAAUUUCAACAAAAUUGCCUUAUAAUCAUCAACUCAUCGGAUCCCAAAGUAGCAUAUCAAAAACGCAUUCUACUUCUUAUAUAUAUAGAUGAUAAGAGUUAACUAUAUAUAUUUAAACAUUUCGAUUCUUACACUUUAAAAAGUUACAUUGGUAUCCAUAUAGUUACGAAAGUGAAAUAUUUAAAUCUAUUUACCCUAAGCACAUCAGUUUUAUCGAUGAAAAAAUAAAAAUAAUGGGCAAAAAGAUAAUUUUUACGUUCGUUGGCGGACGAUGUCGGUGGUGGUGGAUGGCGGCAUCGCCGACGUCGACGUCAAUGUAGUUGCCUUGCCACCUCUGAUGAUGAUAAGGUCUGCUCUCACCGUGAUGCCACUCGCAUCAAUGAGGAGCAUGCCACUGACCUCAUUGUCGCCCACCUUAUGUUGCUUUGCAUUUGUGUCGACUUUAACACAGUUGUCGAGCUGCAAUUGCAUUGGUAUCGAAGCAGAUGGUGGUGGUCGCCGUAGUGUCUACGACGAGGCGGUCACCGUCUUCGCCAUAGAUGCCAUGGCUGUCACCACCAUUUGCGUCAAUGUUGAUGCAGUUGUUGCUUGGCAACUGUGUCAAUGUUGACGCAAAUAUAGAGCGACACGGGGCGACGAUGAGGUUAGCAACGCGCUCCUCAUGGAGGUAGAUGGCGUUGCGGUGAGAGCGGAUUUUAUCGUCGUCGGAGAUGGCCGACAACUGUGUUGACAUCGAUGCCAACGACGUCACCGUCCAUCACCGAACAUUAAAAUUACUUUUUACCUUUUAUUUUCGUGUUUUUAUUGGUAACACUGACGUUAUUAUGGUAAAUGGACCUAGAUGUUUUACUUUCGUAACCAUCUUCACCGUAGAUGCUGGGAUAGCUACCACCAUCUUUCUCGAUGUCGAUGUAGUUGCUGCUUGGCAACUGCAUCGGUAUCGACAUAAAUGCAAAGCAACACGGGAAGGGCGACGAUGUGCUCAUGGAGGAGGAUGGCAUCGCGGUGAUAGUGGAUCCUAUCGUCGUUGAAGGUGGCUAGCAAUUGCAACGACGUCGAUGCCAACGAUGUCAUCAUUUACCAGCGAACGUUAAAAUUAUUAUUAUUUUUUAUUUACGUAGUUUCGUUAGUAAAACUGACGUUAUUAUGGUAAAUAGAUUUAGAUAUUUUACUUUCGUACUUAGUCCGAAUGAUUAGUCUGGAUGUUGAUAUAAUUUUUUAAAGUAUACGUGGUAAUAUGUAAUUAGCCCGGAUGAUAAUGAAUUAAACUAUAGGGAUGCCACACGUUCGAGGAACCAACGAACAUAUGUAAAGGCCCCUAUGGAUCCGAGAUCGCAUUACAAAUAGAUGCGAUGCCGAGACCAACAGCAGGAGCUCCUCGCAAUUCCACACACCCCAUCAUCGAAACCCUCCCGUGUCCGUUGCAGACCAUGGAAUCCGGUCGCCGGAAGAUCCCCAGCGGCCGCGGAAAAGCCUGCGCCGCUGCCGCCAAUAUCGACCGGCCGAUGCCGAUGGCCGCCACUGCUUGUCUGCUCCUAAUCAUCCUUCUCGGCGUUGCGCUACUGGUGUGGUGGACUGCGGUCUUCCACCCGGGCAACGAGCAGCUGUGGAUGGUGCCCCUCGGCCUGCUCAUGGUCGGCACGCCCGCCAUGAUCUGCUUCGCCCUCUCCUCCGAUUGCACCUCGCCAGCCGUGGUGCCCGAUCCCGACCCAGAAAGAUGAUAGCGUGAGCUACUCGCCAGUUAUCCUCAACAUAUACAUCUCUCUCUCGCUCUGUAUCAUCAUCUUCUUCUUCUCUACCUGAUGCUUCCAUAAGAACAAGCAUAUCAUGACACUCAAUUCUUCCUUACUUCGUGGAGAACUCAGAAAUGCUUGCUGCAAAAGUAUCAAAUGAAUGAAGGUUGAACAAAAAUGAUUUGAAUUUGAUUCACAACGACGACAACUUAUUGACGACUGAGUGAAAUCGGACGUGAGCAGUUGAAAGAAUAAGGUGGGUGGAAAAGCAGACAUUUCUGGGGGAGGCGCCUCCAUCUUCAAUGCUGAUACAGAUUGGAAAGGGACACACAGCACCAACAUCACCAUCAUAAGUUCCGAGUCUUCAUCUAAUUCCUGUUUGUCAACUUGUUUGGAUCAACACCAACUUGAUUGUCGAUCUGGGUUUGUGUUUAUUGAGAAUUUGGACUGUAUGAACAAGCUGUUGUCGCGCUGUACGUACGACUGCAAAUUUACCUCC